rnacentral:rRNA from 1 species
AAGAACGCAAGUACCGUUAGGGAAGAAUAAAAAGGAAAAAAGAAGAGAUUAAAACUUGUACCUUUUGCAUUAUGGGUUAUUUAUUGGUAAAAGUAGUUAAAUUCCUGAAAUUCUCCGAGCUACCCCAACUACCACUUGAAUUGUUACAUAACUUUUUAGAAAGCUGGGGUAGAGGUGAUAUGCCUUUCAAGGAGAGUGAUAUCUGGUUGUAGACGAAUUGCAUAUAGUGCAGCCCAACACGCACGUUGGAGUGAGGGAGAAGGGGCUAAGCUCUUCUCCAUUAGAAAAGAGGUGUCCUUGCGGAGGGUGAAAGUGGGCUUAAAACCAGCCAUCUAUAGAGUGAGUUAUAUCUCACACCCCCCACAUAAAGAUUAGAUAGCAAUCUUAAUGUGUAGUCUACCAGCUCACUGAACUUGGUGGGCAAGAUUAGAAUAACAUGAGUAGUGGUAGCUUCUAUCCGGCGCGUGUGGCAUAGAUGCGCGCCCACUAUAAGGAGCAAAGAUAGUCCCUGACAAGGAAUUCGGCAACAAUUAACCCCGCCUGUUUAUCAAAAACAUGGCCCUGCGAUAUAUAAUGCAGGGUCGAACCUGCCCAGUGACGUCAAGUUAAACGGCCGCUGUAAUGGGUGCAAAGGUAGCAAAAUCUAUUGCCCUUUAAUUGGGGGCGUGUGAAUGGUUUGACGUGGGUUAAACUGUCUCGUCAGGGUUUAGUGAAAUUUACUUUUAGGUGCAAAGGCCUGAAUAGUGGGGUUGGACGAGAAGACCCUGUAGAGCUUUACCUUUAGGUUUGGUUGGGGCAACCAAAAAGCAUGAAAAACCUUUUUAUUAUUUAAGAUAUAUAUGAGCCGCAUAGAGCGAUAUUAGAAAAAGCUACCGCAGGGAUAACAGCGUAAUCUUUCCUGAGAGUUCAUAUUGACGGGAGGGUUUGCGACCUCGAUGUUGAAUUAAGGCAUCCUUGAGGCGCAGAAGCCUCAAAGGGUGGGUCUGUUCGACCUUUAAAGCCUUACAUGAUUUGAGUUCAGACCGGCGUGAGCCAGGUUGGUUUCUAUCCUCCCCAUGAAACAGAGGCUUGUUUGUACGAAAGGACCAUAAGCCCUAGCUGAGCUAGGUGAUAA